rnacentral:rRNA from 1 species
CUACGUGCCAGCAGCCGCGGUAAUACGUAGGUGGCGAGCGUUGUCCGGAAUCAUUGGGCGUAAAGGGAGCGCAGGCGGGCGUGUAAGUCUUUCUUAAAAGUGCGGGGCUCAACCCCGUGAUGGGAAAGAAACUACAUGUCUUGAGUACAGGAGAGGAAAGCGGAAUUCCCAGUGUAGCGGUGAAAUGCGUAGAUAUUGGGAGGAACACCAGUGGCGAAGGCGGCUUUCUGGACUGCAACUGACGCUGAGGCUCGAAAGCCAGGGGAGCGAACGGGAUUAGAUACCCCGGUAGUCCUGGCCGUAAACGAUGGGUACUAGGUGUAGGAGGUAUCGACCCCUUCUGUGCCGGAGUUAACGCAAUAAGUACCCCGCCUGGGGAGUACGACCGCAAGGUUGAAACUCAAAGGAAUUGACGGGGGCCCGCACAAGCAGCGGAGCAUGUGGUUUAAUUCGAAGCAACGCGAAGAACCUUACCAGGGCU